CCGAGUUUACAACUCCCAAACCCAAUGUGAACGUUACCAAACUGUUGCCUCGGCGGGAUUUCUGCCCCGGGCGCGUCGCAGCCCCGGACCAAGGCGCCCGCCGGAGAACCAAUUUACAAACUCUUUGUAUGUCCCUCUGCGGAUUUUUAUUAUACAUUCUGAGCUUUCUCGGCGCUCCUAGCGAGCGUUUCGAAAAUGAAUCA
rnacentral:misc_RNA from 1 species